UACCAGACUCCUACGGGAGGCAGCAGUGGGGAAUAUUGCACAAUGGGGGAAACCCUGAUGCAGCGACGCCGCGUGAGCGAUGAAGUAUUUCGGUAUGUAAAGCUCUAUCAGCAGGGAAGAAAAUGACGGUACCUGACUAAGAAGCCCCGGCUAACUACGUGCCAGCAGCCGCGGUAAUACGUAGGGGGCAAGCGUUAUCCGGAUUUACUGGGUGUAAAGGGAGCGUAGACGGCUGUGCAAGCCAGAUGUGAAAGCCCGGGGCUCAACCCCGGGACUGCAUUUGGAACUGUGUGGCUGGAGUGUCGGAGAGGCAGGCGGAAUUCCUAGUGUAGCGGUGAAAUGCGUAGAUAUUAGGAGGAACACCAGUGGCGAAGGCGGCCUGCUGGACGAUGACUGACGUUGAGGCUCGAAAGCGUGGGGAGCGAACAGGAUUAGAUACCCUCGUA
rnacentral:rRNA from 1 species